UUCACUGACGAGUCCCUCCUCCUACAAACUUCCUCUGUCCCUCCUCCUCCUACGAACUUCCUCAGUCCCUCCUCCUCCUACGAACUUCGUAUCUUCAUGAUUUCCUCUCUCCUUCCUACAGUUAUGCUCUCAACCUCUCACCAUAUGUACUAGAUUCGCAGCAACCUGAAGAUUCAUGAUAUCUGGUCGAGGAUUGGAUUCUCUAGCAAGAUGUAGAUGGUAGGCUCAGUAUGUUGUUGAAAUGGCUGCGAAUACUCAGUUGGUUUUCCUGGAAAAAUAUUCAUUCAAUUGAGAAACAAACACUGUGUUCUUCUUCAAUGGGAAGGUGGAAAAUCGGACUCCAUAUCUCUUCAAGGAGAUACAGACUUGGAUCAUGAAGAGGUUUCAUGCCAAUCCAAGCACAAACAUUGAACUGAAAUAUCUGUCAGAGCUGUCUAUUGGGGAAUCAGAACUUUCAUCCCUUUUCUUAGGAAUCAGAACUUCAGUUAAGGUUAUUUAUCUAUCAGGAAACCUUUCUUUCUGAAACUUUCAUUAAUUUAAUCUUUGAACUUGCAGAGUGAUCAUCUAAACCUGGUCAUCGUACACUUGAAGGAUUUGAGCUCAUUGUGUUCUGUACUUUAAGGAAACUGUUAGAGAACUUCAUCCAAGUUUGUCGUAGUCUGAAGAAUCACAUAGCAUAAUUACUGAUACACUGAAGCAGCUGGAGU